CGUAACUCUCCAUGCAUGUCUGUUCUAUGCAACCCCUGCCAUUGCGUUACUACUACUGCAUCCUACACCCAUUUAAACCUGGUUACUGUGGUCUAGCCUAGUUAAGUGCACUUACGGUGUCGGCGGCUCUUCCGCUGUGUGGUGGAGUUAGCAGUUCGUUUCUGUUAGUCAUAGCCAAUUGAGUGACAGUAUACAGUAGCCAGUGACAAUUGCUGAAUCUAGUCACUUGUUUCGGUGGAAGAUAUAAAUUAAUUGCAUUUGCUUUCAUCACGGAUAGUGUGAGAUUGACUGACAGUUCUUGAUACGGGUGUUAUGAAUUAUGAAGUUGGUUACUCGUUUUCGUCUGUAUUUCUUGUAUUGUGUUUCUCAGAAUAUGACAGAAUUCCUUUGAGAUAUUGUUGCGUAUUCCAGUGGUCAUUUGGGUGAUGAGUUGGUGAAGUCAAUGUAUGUGAAUCAAGAAAAACUCGCUAUGGUACUGGGCAGAUCUGUUGUGUAACCCAAGGACUAGCACGUGUUCGUCAGCACAGCACUGAGAACUGGCUCUGAGGAACUUCCUCUAAACUGGAGCUGUCUCAUCCGUCAUGUUAUGCGGGAGAGCAGCCUUACAAUUGAAGCUGAGAAAAAGUCCAAGUACGUUGCAACUGUGCGGCUGCUCUUGUGCAUGCAUUGUAAUCCUCGGGCGCCACCGGCUUCCUAAACUGCUGCCCGAAUCUCGUCAGUCCGCACCUUGAGAAUACAACACUACAGGUGAGCCUCCAGGAAAAUUGUAGUUGUGGCUCCGAGAGACUGAACCGAGGCUUUUCAGGUCAGUGAUAGUGGACAACAAGCAGGACUUAAAGCAAAAAGAUUAGACCCAACUCUUUGUGGUAUAGAGUUUGCAGAGUCUGAAGGAACUGUUAGUGAACUAUUUUUCUGGAAUGUCUAUGGAAGAAACUUUUUUUGUCAGAUGUACAAUUUUUAGGAGUGGAAACGAGGUUGUGACUCAAGAGUGACACGAAUUGCUAACUAAUAAUUUGAUUGGCCAGACAAAGAACCUGAAAUGCCGAAUAAAACAUAAGAACAGACCAAGCUGAAAUUUUUGCAGAAUUCCAGGGCAGAGGUUAGACUUGGGUAUACUCCUCCUGUGGCACACUUGACUGGUAUGGCUGAAGGGAGGUUGCAAAAGGUUGCUCAGCACUUGGGUUGUGGGUGUAGGUGACCGUCGGCUGGAGUCACUGCUGCUACUGCUCGGAUCAGCCCUGCCUGGUAGCAGCCAUCAUCUUCCAUCACACGUGUGCAGUCUCAUCGGCCACGCACCUCCUCGUAAUAUUCACAAAAUCAUUCCAGAUUAUAGUUUAUACGCAAGAAGAGGAGAAGGAAUUAUCUUAAUGACAGGAGUGGCUUCAAAAAUUUCAACAUUGGAUCAUCUACUCUUUAGAAAGAUUUUCAGUGUUUUGUUUUAAAACAACUGAUAUAUCCAGCUCAGUUCCACUUGGAUCACUUACUUCCUGGUCCUCUCCUGUCUUCAGGAAAAGCAGAAGGUGCUAGAAAGUCGUCGUGCAGCAGUGUGAGAUGGCCACCCGACACACUUAUGUACGUUAUCACAAGUAUACGUCUCGGAGCCUGCAGUGAUCUGUGCUGCACCUUGGAGUUCCUUCAGUGUUGAAGUUUCACAGUAUUGAGCUUCUGAAGAAUGGGACACACUGAAGGUUGUUAAUCAGACUUUGAACAGCAAGCUCGUAAUUGCACAAUUGUUAAACUGGACAGUUGUUAAUAUGGACAAUUGUUAAAUCUGGGUACACAGUUUAUAAACUCAUUGCUUGUGUGAA